UUCUCACACUUGUUAUGUUAUCCAUCAUUCCUCUACUUGUCAUCUUUGCUGGAGUGAUGUCCCUCAUCCUAUCUAGGCUGGUGUCCCGUGGAUAAGAUGCUUAUGCCAAAGCAGCAACGGUGGUUGAACAGACAAUUGGCUCCUUUAAAAUGAAAAUAACCACCAGUAGAUGAGAUGUAUCUUGUUUCCUUCUCAGGCUGCAUCUUUUACAGGGGAGAAGCAAGUUGUGGCCAGCUAUAACGAGUCCCUAAUUAAAGAUUACCAUUCGGGUUCAAAUGAAGGGCUGGCAAGUGGAUUAGGUCUUGGGUCACAUUUUGCUAUUAUGUACUCCAGCUAUGCGAUGGCUAUCUGGUACGGUACAAGGUUCAUCUUGGAAAAAAGAUAUAUUGGUGGUCAAGUUCUCAAUGUUUCCGACGCGAAGCUUCUCCACUAAGUAGCAAGGGAUUUACUUUUUAAGGGAGAGUUUUCUGCAAAAAGGUGUGAUGCUGGUGGCGAAUUGGCGAUGCAUGAGAGGAAUGUUGAAGCCAAAGGAACUUUCUGUUUAGACGGCUUUUGCUGCAGGAUGUAGAACUCCCGAAAAUUGGAGAAGUGUAAGAGCAAUGGGGGCAGUUAGGCUUGUUUUCAAUUUGAAGCUGAAGUGCCAGAAAACAAUACUACAAGAAAGGCUCUAUGCCUAUUCCUAACUUCUGAUGUAAGUGCUUAAAAGUUGAAACUGAAGAAAGUUGAAGAGAUGUGGAACCCCUAUUCUUCACGGUUCAGAUCAUUUACUUAUGUAUUUGAACAUUUGGAGAAGAGAGCGUGAAGGUGACAUGCAAGAAGAAAGAAAUAAGAAUAAAACUGGAAAUAAACCUGUGUUCUCUUUCAGUUUGAUAGUGAGAUUUCAUUUAGUUUGUACCAUAGUGCUAUGUUUUUUAAAAAAAUGAGAAUACAUAAAGGUAUGAUUAGCACUCCCUAAAUCAGCACCAUUUUUUUAAGGGUCACCAAUUGGUUUGAUCUAUGCUAUCUUUGUUUAUCUCGUUAAAUAUAUACUGACUUUAAGGAAGUUUUAUGUUGUGCUUGAUUGGUGGGACAUCACAACUGAUAUCUUCUUCUCAGUUGGGAAAAACUUGGUCCAUAUAGUUGUAUGCAACCAAUGUGCUAAAUGAAACUUACAGGAUGACUGAUUUAUUACUUCA